GGGGAAUUUUGGACAAUGGGCGCAAGCCUGAUCCAGCCAUGCCGCGUGCGGGAAGAAGGCCUUCGGGUUGUAAACCGCUUUUGUCGGGGAAGAAACGGUGGAGGUUAAUACCUUCUGCUAAUGACGGUACCCGAAGAAUAAGCACCGGCUAACUACGUGCCAGCAGCCGCGGUAAUACGUAGGGUGCGAGCGUUAAUCGGAAUUACUGGGCGUAAAGCGUGCGCAGGCGGUUGUAUAAGACAGAUGUGAAAUCCCCGGGCUCAACCUGGGAACUGCAUUUGUGACUGUACGGCUGGAGUGCGGCAGAGGGGGAUGGAAUUCCGCGUGUAGCAGUGAAAUGCGUAGAUAUGCGGAGGAACACCGAUGGCGAAGGCAAUCCCCUGGGCCUGCACUGACGCUCAUGCACGAAAGCGUGGGGAGCAAACA
rnacentral:rRNA from 1 species